rnacentral:lncRNA from 1 species
GCUGCCCCGUGUUUUCCACUUUAAACGUUCUUCUGAGCGUGAAAUUUGGUUCUUUGUAUUUCAUUUUCUCUGAACAGUCUUUUAAUAGUGCUUCUGUGAUUUUAAAGCGUAAAGAACUUCCAAGACCAGGAGGUUUGCCUGCAACCUUCAAGCUCUCGGUCGUUCCCUGUCCUCGUACCAUUACGGCAUCUAUUACAGUCAAAUUAUUUCUGAUAACAAUUAACGAUGAAACGGUUUUGUUAAGAACUGGAGUGAAUUUUACUUUGACUGACUUUCUUUCCCCA